GGGUAGUCCACGCCCUAAACGAUGUGGGCUAGGUGUCGGCCCGUCAUUGGGUCGGUGCCGCAGCUAACGCGUUAAGCCCACCGCCUGGGGAGUACGGCCGCAAGGCUGAAACUCAAGGGAAUUGACGGGGGCCCGCACAAGCGGUGGAGCAUGUGGUUUAAUUCGAUACUAAGCGAAGAACCUUACCGGGCUUGACAUGCUGGUGGUACCGACCCGAAAGGGAAGGGACCCAAGGCCUUGUGCGCUUGGGAGCCAGCACAGGUGCUGCAUGGCUGUCGUCAGCUCGUGUCGUGGGACGUUGGGUUAAGUCCCGGAACGAGCGCAACCCCUGCCGCCAGUUGCCAGCGGACCUUUAAGGUGCCGGGGACUCUGGCGGGACUGCCGGCGAAUAGCCGGAGGAAGGAGGGGAUGACGUCAAGUCAUCAUGGCCCUUAUGCCCGGGGCGACACACAUGCUACAGUGCCCGGUACAAUGGGGU
rnacentral:rRNA from 1 species